rnacentral:rRNA from 1 species
GCGAACGGGUGAGUAACAUACCCUUUCCUGCCCUGCCUCCUGGGACCUGGAAAAACGGGGUCUACCCUACGAUACUGCCGCUUGGGCAUCCAAUUGGUUCGAAAGCUCCGGCGGUGCAUGAUGAGCCCGCGGCCUAUCACUUGUUGGUGAGGUAAUGGCUCACCAAGGCGACCACCGGUAGCCGGCCUGAGAGGGCGACCGGCCACACUGGGACUGAGACACGGCCCAAACUCCUACGGGAGGCACCAGUGGGGAAUAUUGCACAAUGGGCGAAGGCCUGAUGCAUCGACUCCCCGUGAGGGAUGACGGCCUUCGGGUUGUAAACCUCUUUCAGCAGGGAACAAGCGAAAGUGACGGUACCUGCACAAGAAACGCCGGCUAACUACAUGCCAGCACCCGCGGUAAUACGUAAGGCGCGAGCGUUGUCCGGAAUUAUUGGGCGUAAAGAGCUCGUAGGCGGCUUGUCACAUCUGUUGUGAAAACCCGGGGCUUAACCCCGGGUCUGCAUCGAUACGGUCAGGCUAGAGUUCGGUAGGGGAGAUCGGAAUUCCUGGUGUACCGGUGAAAUGCGCAAUAUCAGGAGGAACACCGGUGGCGAAGGCGGAUCUCUGGGCCGAUACUGACGCUGAGAACGAAAGGUGGGAGCGAACAAUAAUACCCUGUAUCCAAUAAACGGUGGGCACUAGUGUGGGGCUACAUACUACUCCGUCCGUGCCGCAGCUCACACAUU